UGGGGAAUUUUGGACAAUGGGGGAAACCCUGCUCCAGCCAUCCCGCGUGUGCGAUGAAGGCCUUCGGGUUGUAAAGCACUUUUGGCAGGAAAGAAACGUCAUGGGUUAAUACCCCGUGAAACUGACGGUACCUGCAGAAUAAGCACCGGCUAACUACGUGCCAGCAGCCGCGGUAAUACGUAGGGUGCAAGCGUUAAUCGGAAUUACUGGGCGUAAAGCGUGCGCAGGCGGUUCGGAAAGAAAGAUGUGAAAUCCCAGAGCUCAACUUUGGAACUGCAUUUUUAACUACCGGGCUAGAGUGUGUCAGAGGGAGGUGGAAUUCCGCGUGUAGGAGGGAAAUGCGUAGAUAUGCGGAGGAACACCGAUGGCGAAGGCAGCCUCCUGAGAUAACACUGACGCUCAUGAACGAAAGCGUGGGGAGCAAACAGA
rnacentral:rRNA from 1 species